GAGAAACAGGGACAGCAGGUCGCAGUGACAAGGGGGUCCCGACUGUUUAAUAAAAACACAGGAAGCUGCUAGCCCGAAAGGGUGUGUAUAGCUUUUGAAUCCUGGCCAGCAACGGUACCUAAAACCUGGGUUCAACUGGGCUAAGGGCCGUUUAGCGCCGGGAGUAACUCUGACUCUCUUAAGGUAGCCAAAUGCCUUGUCGGGUAAGUUCCGACGUGCAUGAAUGGAACAACGAGGGCCCUACUGUCCCCGUCUACUACCCGGCGAACCCACGUAACGUGGACGAACAGUCCACGAACUUCUAUCGGGAAGAGAAGACCCUGUGGAGCUUUACUGCAGCUUGUUGUUGUGAUACGACUAUGAUUGCAGAGUGUAGCUGGGAGUUGUUAUGCACAUACUUUUGGGUAUGUGAUAGACAAAAGUGUAACACCAGCCUCUCAUAGUUUUAUCGCUCACCGGGAAACCGGGACACCGGCAGGUGGGCAGUUUGGCUGGGGCGGCACCCCCUUGAAAAAAUAUCGAGGGGGCCCAAAGGUCGGCUCAGGUGGGACAGAAAUCCACCGUAGAGGGCAAGGCUAAAAGCCGGCCUGACUGGGUUCUCAAAAGCACAGAACCCAGGAGCGAAAGCUUGGCCUAGCGAUCCUCCAGGUCCCCACUGUUGGGGGCUGAAGGUGACAGAAAAGUUACCCCAGGGAUAACAGGCUUGUCGCGGGUGAGAGCUCAAAUCGACCCCGCGGAUUGGUACCUCGAUGUCGGCUCUUCCCAUCCUGGUCCUGCAGCAGGGGCCAAGGGUGGGGCUGCUCGCCCAUCAAAGGGGAACGUGAGCUGGGUUUAGACCGUCGUGAGACAGGUCGGCCUCUAUCUGAUAGAAGCGAUGGCCGUCUGAGGGGAAGUUGUCCUCAGUACGAGAGGAACAGGGCAACGUAGCCUCUGGCGUACCGGUUGUCUGAUAAGGCAGUUGCCGGGCAGCUAAGCUAUUGAGGAUAAGAGCUGAAAGCAUCUAAGCUCGAAGCCUCUCCUGAGAAUAGACCGCCUUCCACAUUUCUACUUCUUUCGGGAAGUAGGUGUGGACAAGAGCUGGGAAAGAAGAUCCCGUUGAU
rnacentral:rRNA from 1 species